AUAGCUUCUCAGCCUUUUGGCUAAGAUCAAGUGUACUAUCUGUUCUUAACAGUUCAAUAUCUGAUACAUCCUCUAUCCGAGGACAAUAUAUUAAAUGGAUUUUUGGAGCAGGGAGUUGGAAUAGGAACUUGUUCCUUCCACUCCACACAUAGAUCUGGUAUUGCAGCACCUCCAGUCAUAGUGCACAAGAA